AAGGGAGGCAACUGCCCCCCAGAGAAAACUAUAUUCACGAUUUUUAGAAUGUCAUUAAUUAUUCUUUGGAUAUUUGGGACUUUUCCGGCAUAUAGGCCUUACUCCCCCCCCCCCCGGUGAAAAAAUCCUGUGUACGGCCCUGUCUGCAGCUUAAUGGGUUUAACAAUUUGGAACACCGACUAUUGUAUGUUGCUUCCCUUGCACUGGGAAGGUACCUUGUAUCCUGGCCACUUUUGAUUAUUAUACCAUUAAAAGCCUGAUAAUUGCACCAAUGGUUCUGGUGUCUCUGGUUUGGAGUUGAGUCACAUUGUUUUGUUUUUCCCAUCAUCAUUUUUGUGCUCAAAGUUACAACAUAUAAUAUAUUUUUGUUUAUUCCAGAAUUAUCUCACAAUUGUCAUAUCAUAAUUUGGCAUUUGUCCUCUCACUCUGGUUUCCCAAUUAACCCAUAGAGUGGCUCUGACAUUGACAAGUAAAAGUAGGGCAGUAUACCAAGCAAGAUGUAUGGAAAAUAUUGAAGACACAAAAGCUGGAUUAAUUUUGAACUAUUUUAUUUGAACUUCUUCAAUACAGUAGAAUUAUUAACAGUGAAUAAUUUUAAAUUAACACUAAAAUUAUUGUAAUUAAUUAAGUGUACAUGAUGUAGUGGAGCAUGUGUUAACUUAAUAGUCUUAAUUAAUUAACAUUAACUUACGGUAAUAAAGGUUUAUACUUUUAUGUUAUCAUCACCAUAAUCUAUAGACAUUUUCAAAUUUUGCUUGGGGUGGGGGUGUGCAGAAAAAUUCAGGGGUGGAAAGUGAGCACAUGGGGUGCUGAGUAAGAUGCAGCAGGGUCUACCAUGGGUGUGCCCCCCCCCCCAGUUUGUUGGGCAAACAAAGCCAGUUGGGCAGUAUUGGCUUAUUAUUCUGUCAAUUUUGUGGGAAAUAUGCUAUCUAAUAGGAAUUUUCGUAGCAUCCUCCCCCCCUGUUGACAACAAUUUCGGAAAGUUUCUCUGGAAAUUUUUUUUUUGACAACUCGGGCACAAUCCGAAAAAGUCAGGCAAAU